rnacentral:sRNA from 1 species
AAUGAAAAUGCAUAGUUCGCUAAUCCAUCGGCAAGACGAUUAGCUUCACU